GAUGAAGAACGCAGCGAAAUGCGAUAAGUAAUGUGAAUUGCAGAAUUCAGUGAAUCAUCGAAUCUUUGAACGCACAUUGCGCCCGCCAGUAUUCUGGCGGGCAUGCCUGUCCGAGCGUCAUUUCAACCCUCGAACCCCUCCGGGGGGUCGGCGUUGGGGAUCGGCCCUGCCUCUUGGCGGUGGCCGUCUCCGAAAUACAGUGGCGGUCCCGCUGCAGCCUCCUCUGCGUAGUAGUUUUCUCCUCGCAAGGGCAGCUCGGUGGCGACCUCGCCGUAAAACCCCCAACUUCUGAAAGGUUGACCUCGAAUCAGGUAGGAAUACCCGCUGAACUUAAGCAUAUCAAUAAGCGGAGGA
rnacentral:misc_RNA from 1 species